ensembl:lncRNA
AGUGCUCGCUCUGCUGCUGGCGUGUGUAAAUCCUGCAUAGGAAUUGCUCCCUUCCACAGAAAUCAGCCGCAUGAAACACAGCAGAUGCUUUGCAAAACGGAUUUGAAAGGAAGUGAAGAUACCUUUUCCAAUGAGCUUUGUGAUGAAUAUAAAAUCCAGCAGCAGCGACGCUCCUCUCAGGAAGCCAGUGAAUAGGCAUCUGUAACUCACAGCAUGUGUCUUGCAGUCCUUCAGGGACAUGCCUGCCAGAUUUCUGCCACACAGGACAAGAUGCACCUACGAAACCAUGCCCCACCCUGGCAUAUGGCCUGAGGCAGGUUCCUGUGCCGUGCCUCAUCCAGGAGUGAAGCUGGGCUGACCCCCAGCCAACCUGAGCAGUACCUCGGCACCACAGCCGGCUGUUAUGAUUGUUACGACUGCAGCUGACCACACAUUAGUCUCCAGAAUGGAAGAAAUACAUAAAAUACAAAUAUACACCAAGCCCAAAGUGAACUGGUAGUACUGGUCAUCAAAAGGAUAAUCAAACUUGGCUGAUGCCUCAAGUUGUCAAGAGUAUCCAAGGUACCCAAUUUACUGAUGCGAUGAUACAUUGCUGAGCAGAAGAAAAGAAGAGGAAAUGGUAAUUCCAUCCCCUAUAUAAUCCAAUAGGGGCAGGCCUCAUUGAAUUUUAUAAAAGCAUUCUCAAGGCUGUCCUGAAGACAAACUCCCAGUCCCUGCAGGGGUGGACAAAGAGACUCUAUUAAACCCUGCAGGACUUGAAUGAAAGACCUUGAGAUAGCAAACCCAGUGCCCUGAAAAUGUUACAAACAACAUGGGCCUCCCUGCUUAGGAUCCAAAUUAUGGGCACUGAUAAUUAAAGGUAAGACUUCAGCUUAGAAAUGAAAAUAACUUUCUGCUCCCUGCACCUGAGAAUCUAUAUUCAGGUACCCAUAGAAUAAAAUGAUCUGGUAAGGUGCAGGUAGGACUUAAGUGGUGUGGCCUACUUUCACCUUGGGGGAGACUAUUGGAGGUGGGAGGCUUAGUAGUCCCUCUGGUAAUAGGUACAUGGCCUAUGGAUACUGCAGUCAACACUCCAAUCUUCAUUGCUAAAGGGACCCCUAUGGCAGAUCAGGACACCCCUAUUGGUGCCUGAUACAGUUACACUGCUGCAGACAUCUGGCCAGAAGGUAUGGUACAGGUGGCUAGGGCAUGCACUAGUACAAGCUGAAGUGUUGACCUAGGAUAAAUAUAUGGCCUGUAUCUUGCCCUGGAGGACAGACCUUCCCCUCCUGGUACCCUUGAAACAUCUGUAUUACACUCUGUGAGUCUUUGAGCCUCCAGGACCACUGGAAGGAACAAAAUGUCAUCAAAGUGUUCCAGUGUUGCUGCCUGACCAUGUGUGACACCUGGUGAUGAUUUACAUGAGACUGAUGGAGCAUAGGAUGGACCUGCACCUCAUGACUACAUGCCUCCAGUAAUAUCAAGCACUGGCCCAUGAAAGAACAUGAACUUUCACCAAUCAUCACUCACCUUAAAUUGUGUCAAUGUACAUUGUGACAGGAAACUGUAUAAGCAUUGUGAUGUGUUGGAUCUCUGUAGUAGGAAAGGCUUAUCAUUAAGUUAGCUCAAUCAUUGGUUCAUGCUGUGAAGGGGUGGAGUGUAUGGGAACUCUUGAAUCACAGCCUGAACCUCUGAUUGAACACCUGAGGCAAGCACUGAGUCUGCUGUGGGAGCACAGGUGAAGGCAAUGAAGCUGUGUGACCAAAAGGGGUGGAGCCUGGCUCCAUCUCUCCUAGACCCCAUUUAAGGGCUGACUGCCACUGAGGAAGGGUCUCUUCCUAGAGAUUGCUCCUUGUGGAGUUUUUGCAAGCCUGCGAUGCCAGUGAGCACCUUUCAUUUAUCUGAUUAUCUUUUCCAAUGUGGUAAUCUUACCAGCCUAACUUCUCUUUAUACUGUAUAACAUCUGUAUACUUAUUUACUGUACACCUGGUGAGCCAGCUCAUGUGUUACUUGCAAUGUGAUAGCAUUCACUGCAUGCAUUAGUACUCAGUCCUUGCUAAUGCAUUCAGUUUCAUUAUAAAUGAGCAUAAAUAAAAUUAAUGGAUUUGAGUUUAGGGUAGAUUUCCAUUAGAGAAAUGUAGCUGCCAGUACAUUUGGAUUUCCUGGGAAUGAAUAGAUUUAACCACCGUGUAGUUGUUUGCAAUAAAUAAAUAAACCAUGUAAAA